AAUCUGCACUCUAGGAUGUCUGGAAUCAAGUGAGCCGAAAGACCGUCGUCACACUGCAUCCGUAAGUAGAAGGCAGAGGCUACAUGAACCAGAAUCCAAGGAUAAGUUCGACAUUCGUUAGUCCUCAAUGAUCAACCAAAGAGAUGGUUGGACUACUAUUGGGGUUGAGUUGUUUGCUCCAUUUUGGAGGUGUAUUGGCUUUUGAUUAUGCCUACGAGGCUCCAUUCACGCCUAUAACAUCACAAGACUCCCAAAAUAUUCAAGGGACUGAGAAAAUUGUGGCAUCACAAACAACAGACUCUGAUUUUGCCAACCGACAAGGGUUCUAUCAACCAAAUCCAUACGACAGGCAAGAUGGACUUGAAGCAUCAAUCCCUUUAUUGGUUGCUCUCGGAAUUGGAGGGAUCGUAGCAGGUGCUGCAGUGGUUCAAAAUGCUAAUCAAGCCCGUGAAAAUUUACAAUCCCAAUUGGAUACCAUCAACACAAGGAUUACUUCAUCUAGUAAUAGUGUUUCCAGCCUAUCUUCCACUCUAUCUUCUCUGAUAAGUACUGACAACAUCAACACCGCACGAGCGAUUUCAGCAUGUUCUAGUGUUGCGAAUGGUGCGGCAGUUCCUAUUUCUAGCCCCCCUCCAACGUCGGAUAUCGCAGUACAAAUCUUAAUAGACAACCUUGUUAUGGCAAUUGGAACCAACACGUGUCCAUGACUUUUGUAACAACAUGACCCAUUGCUCGUAAAACAUGAAAUCAAUCAACUAUUGUCGCAACACUGAAUGUCUUUUUGCUAUUAGAUUUGUUCCCUUUGCUACCUUUGAGAACUUUUCUAGAAGUGAAGUGAUUUACAAACAUCAUUUUACCUUGUUUUCUACAUCAGAAAAAAUAUAUAAACAAU